rnacentral:rRNA from 1 species
UACGAAGGGGGCGAGCGUUGUUCGGAUUUACUGGGCGUAAAGGGCGCGUAGGCGGCCUUCUCAGUCGGGUGUGAAAGCCCGGGGCUCAACCCCGGAACGGCACCCGAGACGGGUUGGCUGGAGACCGGGAGAGGAGGGUGGAAUAGCCAGUGUAGAGGUGAAAUUCGUAGAUAUUGGCUGGAACACCGGUGGCGAAAGCGGCUCUCUGGCCCGGUUCUGACGCUGAGGCGCGAAGGCGUGGGGAGCAAACAGG